CAGUACUGAGGCUCCGAAUGAUCCCCCUCCGGUGCCUCCUCUUUCUGGGGCUCUACCGACUGCUGCGACUUCUCCUAAGCAACCUUUGUGAAGGCUCCCUCUUGUUUGUUUAUUUUGACUCAUGUAUAUGUACAUAUUUGUAGCUUAUCGGGGAUAUCAAUAAAUAAGAUUUCCUUCAUUUCAACGUAUUGUGUUAAAUACACCAAAGCCUUCUUCGCUAAGUUCUUUGAAUUUUCUUUUGUUGGAGCUUUAUGAGUGGAGCAUGUAGGUUGAGGUAGUGUUCCCUUAAUUUCCUGAGUGAGGAAAACUUAUCGGUUGGAGACUUGGAAAAUCCAAGUCACUGAGUGGGAUCGGCUACAUGAAUCUUAGAACGCCAUUGUGCUCUGACGCCCUCCCCUCCUCCUUUAUUUGGGCUUGGGAUCGGCUACAUGAAUCUUAGAACGCCAUUGUGCUCGAUCCUGUGUCAUGUCCUUCGUUAGAUCCAAGUACUCUAAGUCUUUUCUUAGAGUCUUUUCCAAAGUUUUCCUAGGUCUUCCUCUACCCCUUCGGCCCUGAACCUCUGUCCCAUAGUCGCAUCUUCUAAUCGGAGCGUCAGUAGGCCUUCUUUGCACAUGUCCAAACCACCGUAACCGAUUUUCUCUCAUCUUUCCUUCAAUUUCGGCUACUCCUACUUUACCCCGGAUCUCCUCAUUCCUAAUCUUAUCCUUUCUCGUGUGCCCACACAUCCAACGAAGCAUCCUCAUCUCCGCGACACCCAUUUUGUGUACGUGUUGAUGCUUCACCGCCCAACAUUCUGUGCCAUACAGCAUCGCCGGCCUUAUUGCCGUCCUAUAAAAUUUUCCCU
rnacentral:lncRNA from 1 species